CAUGUAGGCGGAUUAAUAAGUUUGAAGUGAAAUCCUAUAGCUUAACUAUAGAACUGCUUUGAAAACUGUUAAUCUAGAAUGUGGGAGAGGUAGAUGGAAUUUCUGGUGUAGGGGUAAAAUCCGUAGAGAUCAGAAGGAAUACCGAUUGCGAAGGCGAUCUACUGGAACAUUAUUGACGCUGAGAUGCGAAAGCGUGGGGAGUAAACA
rnacentral:rRNA from 1 species